rnacentral:lncRNA from 1 species
AGGAAUGUGACACAGAAAAUGAAAUAGGUAAGUAUCACUUUCUUAUCUUGGUCGUAUUGAUUGUGCUAAGGAGAUUUUUUGUUUAACAAACCCUGCAUGAAUACCCAGGAUGCCACGUACAUCCACAGUCCCAUCUGCUCUGGGGUCUGCCCUUGACCCUACAUUGUUAUUUAAACACCAAAUCUGUAAAUGACGAGCUCAAGGUCAGCCCAAGAACAGAUUCAAGCAGUCCUUCAACAUGCAUCCCAAUUUAUUUCUCUGUUUCAAGGUGAACUUACAGCAGAAAUUGACAGUCUGACUGCAGAGCUUGGUAAGUGGUUUCCUUCCUUUUUGUCUUUAUUUCACUGCAGGUUUUUAGGGGAAAGAGGUGGUUAUUACACACACACACACACACACAUAACCCCACAUAUGUCCAAUCUGGGCUAGAAAUAAAGUCGAUUAAUUAAAAAAAAAAGCAUAAUUUCAAAUUAUAAUCACCAGUAAACCCAAAAUUUGGAGGCGGAGGAUGAUGUGAGGCUCACAAGCAUGAGGGAGAGCUGGCGAGCACUUACUGACCAUCGCUAUUUCCUCUUUAUUUUUUCUUUUAGAGGAACGGGAUAGAAAAAUUAGUAAGUAUCAUUUUUCUUUUCUGGUCAAAGUAAAAGCCGUGGGCAAUGCCAGAUUGCCCCGAGGGCACCUGUGUGUUUCGCGUCUGGUUGUUAAAUUAUUUUUUGAAUAUGUGGGAGGUUUGGGGUUUGCACCAAGCUGCAGAAUUUGGGCUUUUUUGGCUACGUGUCGCCUCUCUAAUCUAAAGUAUAAAGGCAGCCCCAUUUCCCUUGUUCCCAUCAGUGCCAAAGAUGCAGGGACCGAUUCUUUACCCGUAAUAUAAAGCUGUUGUCAGCAAUCCCUUCCCUGUUCUUAAUUACCAGCUUGUUGGUCUCGUUAGCAUCAACGUGGUGCCGUUAUAAUAUAACUUGACCCUGGGGAAAGUCAAAGGCGGCGCAAGCCACAUUAUCAGCCAGGUUGUGUUCGCAGAGAAAUAAAAGUUGAUUUAAAGCUAAUAUUCAUUUAUUUCUUUUGGUUUAAGGCAAGCUCACAUCAGACUUGGGUAAGUUUUAUUUCCUUCAAAUGAAAGUUAUCCUUAAUUAUGCAAAAGCGCUGGGUAUAAAACUUUUUUUUUUAAAUGGAGGAUUUUGUGUUUUCAUCUGCUUUAGGAUGGGGUGGCUUAUAGGGCGAUUUCUUCCGUAAUAAACCUUAUUUUUAAAAUAGUUUAGGGGAAGAUGUCCGUGGAAUAGAAUUUCCAUCAGGUCUGAGUUUUGUGGUGUGAAGACAGAGCGCUGCGGGAGGGGAUGGGUGCAGGAGGAGUUGCUUUGCAUUUCUCUGUAUUUAUUGAUUAUUUCUUGUCUUUUAGGUGAAUGUGAUGCAAAAAUCAGUAAGUGCAAUUCCUCUUUCGAUGAAUGCCAAGGAGCACACAUGCCUGCCAUUUUAUCUUUGAAAAUGGGAGUGGAGAGGGAGUUUCCUGCUGAAAACGUUAAAGUUUUUUUUUGUAGAUUGAGUAACAUUCACAACAAAGCAUAAUUUCAAAGUAUAAUCAUCAGUAUCAAGGCAGUUUUGGGGGGGAAAAAGCAAUGUUCCUGAUCUGAGCGCUCUAGGGAUGCUAUAGAGCCAUACACAGAAAAGAAGGAAAUAUUUAAUAACAACUUUUCCGCUUUUUUUCCUUUCUAGAGGAACGUGACAGAAAAAUUAGUAAGUGUCAUUCUUCAUUGUGCUUUUGGGGUAAACCCCCUUUGUUUUGGGGGAGGGGGAGCCUCUCUGAUGCCCUGUCAUUGAAAAGUGGCAAAUAAGAAAAUGUUUUCCCCAAGUUUCAUCCCGCGCUUCUGCAUUUCCCGCAGAGAAAAACCACCCAAAUAAACUCGAAUAUUAUUUUUUCUCUUUGCAGCCAAGCUCGCAGCAGAAAUACGUAAGUCC